CACUUACGGGUUGAGUUGGCCUGUGACUUUCACAGGACCAACAUCCACCACUCGUAUCGUUUCGUUAUUUUAUAUUUUUUUAAUUUGUUUUUUUUUUGCGUUUUGUUCGACACAUUUUGUUGGUUUGUUGGAAGUUAGCCAGUGAAUUCAAUAGUUGAGAAGUUUUGAACAAGGCAAAGACCAAUUCCCUGAAAACCGAAAUAUCUGAGGAUGAGACAACCGAGUCCCAACAUUUCAGCCGCAGUCUCACCGCAGUCUCAUCAAAAUACAUCCAAGCAGAUUUCCUGGACUUCAAACCAAAGUUAUGGUAUCAUUUUUUUAAUUGAAUUGUUUUUCCGAUAACAGUAAAAAAUACAAAAAUAUACAAAAAAAGAAACCUAGAUUUACGUAGAAAUUAGAUUCCACUUAUGAAAUCCGAUAAGAGAAAUUUUUCUAUUCAUAGUACAUGUUAUCCAAAUCGUAAAACUUUUAGCUGCUUUGAACAUAAAAUUAAUCCAAUAAUAGUUAAGACACAAAUGUAAUAGAAUUCUCUUUAUUGCAAAAUACGAAACAUUCCAGCGUGCAAGACAAUCAUUAACAAUUGGGAACAAUUAUGCCUUAUUAAUUAUAUGGAACUAUAAAGUGCCCAUUGUUUGUAUAUAUUGUCACACAUUAAAUUUAACUCACAUGUAAUAAGUACCACAAUUUACUGUCAAAAACAAUUUGCUACUAUUUAAAAUAAAAUUUUCCUCUCUUCCACUCAAA